rnacentral:rRNA from 1 species
AGUGAGCGCUGGCGGUAGGCCUAACACAUGCAAGUCGAACGGCAGCACAGUAAGAGCUUGCUCUUACGGGUGGCGAGUGGCGGACGGGUGAGGAAUACAUCGGAAUCUACUUUUUCGUGGGGGAUAACGUAGGGAAACUUACGCUAAUACCGCAUACGACCUACGGGUGAAAGCAGGGGAUCUUCGGACCUUGCGCGAUUGUAUGAGCCGAUGUCGGAUUAGCUAGUUGGCGGGGUAAAGGCCCACCAAGGCGACGAUCCGUAGCUGGUCUGAGAGGAUGAUCAGCCACACUGGAACUGAGACACGGUCCAGACUCCUACGGGAGGCAGCAGUGGGGAAUAUUGGACAAUGGGCGCAAGCCUGAUCCAGCCAUACCGCGUGGGUGAAGAAGGCCUUCGGGUUGUAAAGCCCUUUUGUUGGGAAAGAAAAGCAGCAGGUUAAUACCCCGCUGUUCUGACGGUACCCAAAGAAUAAGCACCGGCUAACUUCGUG